rnacentral:tRNA from 1 species
GCGAGAGUGGCGGAACCGGUAGACGCACUGGACUUAGGAUCCAGCUCUGGAAACAGGGUGGGAGUUCGAGUCUCCCCUCUCGCACCA